rnacentral:rRNA from 1 species
AGUGAACGCUGGCGGUAGGCCUAACACAUGCAAGUCGAACGGCAGCACAGUAAGAGCUUGCUCUUACGGGUGGCGAGUGGCGGACGGGUUAGGAAUACAUCGGAAUCUACUUUUUCGUGGGGGAUAACGUAGGGAAACUUACGCUAAUACCGCAUACGACCUACGGGUGAAAGCAGGGGAUCUUCGGACCUUGCGCGAUUGAAUGAGCCGAUGUCGGAUUAGCUAGUUGGCGGGGUAAAGGCCCACCAAGGCGACGAUCCGUAGCUGGUCUGAGAGGAUGAUCAGCGACACUGGAACUGAGACACGGUACAGACUCCUACGGGAGGCAGCAGUGGGGAAUAUUGGACAAUGGGCGCAAGCCUGAUCCAGCCAUACCGCGUGGGUGAAGAAGGCCUUCGGGUUGUAAAGCCCUUUUGUUGGGAAAGAAAAGCAGCAGGUUAAUACCCCGCUGUUCUGACGGUACCCAAAGAAUAAGCACCGGCUAACUUCGUG